UAGAAAGGCGAGUCUGUGUGCUUCAGAGCUGAGAAAUGGCCACUCCAGCUCGUCUCUCACUCGUCUCCAGACCUUCACCUCCACACCUAGUCCUCGGCUUCCCGCGAAGCGGGUCGAAUCCACACAAAACUGUCCGCUUCAAAUGUCUGGCAAGUCAGAGCGGGUUCUUCACACGACUUGGCAGAUUGAUAAAAGAGAAGGCCAAAAGCGAUGUGGAGAAAAUCUUCUCUGGAUUCUCCAAAACCAGAGACAAUCUCGCCGUAAUUGACGAGCUGCUCCUAUACUGGAACCUCGCCGACACCGACCGAGUUCUAGACGAACUUGAAGAGGUACUGUUAGUAUCCGAUUUUGGGCCAAGAAUCACGAUUAAGAUCGUGGAGAGCUUGCGGGAGGAUAUAUUAGCCGGGAAGCUCAAAUCAGGAAGCGAAAUAAAGGAUGCUUUGAAGAAGAGUGUUCUUGAAUUAUUAAUUAAGAAAGGGAAUAAGACUGAGCUUCAGCUUGGAUUCAGGAAGCCGGCUGUUAUCAUGAUUGUUGGUGUCAAUGGAGGUGGGAAGACGACAUCUCUUGGUAAAAGAUGGAAGCUGGCAUAUAGAUUGAAGAAUGAUGGGGCGAAGAUAUUGAUGGCAGCAGGUGAUACAUUUAGGGCAGCUGCCAGUGACCAGUUGGAGAUAUGGGCUGAAAGAACUGGAUGUGAGAUUGUUGUGGCUGAAGAGGAGAAGGCCAAAGCAUCAUCAGUUCUUUCAAAGGCUGUAAAAAGAGGGAAAGAACAAGGCUUUGACGUUGUUUUAUGUGACACAUCAGGACGCCUUCACACUAACUACAGCCUCAUGGAAGAGUUGAUAGCAUGUAAAAAAGCUGUAGGAAAAGUUGUUUCUGGUGCACCUAAUAUUUGCAGGAGAUCCUUCUGGUGCUAGAUGGGAACACUGGUCUGAAUAUGCUUCCACAAGCAAGAGAGUUUAACGAAGUGGUUGGAAUAACCGGUUUGAUUUUGACAAAACUUGAUGGUUCUGCUAGAGGUGGCUGUGUGGUCAGUGUUGUGGAUGAGCUUGGCAUCCCUGUGAAGUUUGUAGGUGUUGGAGAAGGUGUUGAAGACCUUCAGCCUUUUGACGCAGAAGCUUUUGUUAAUGCCAUAUUUUCAUGAGAACUCAACAUGCAGCCAGAAUACGAGAGAAUGAAUUAGGUAAGGUACUGUAUAAAUAUAGAUGCCGUUCAAGGGCUCUGAUAAUUUUGUUGGAAAAUAAUGAGAUAAGUUUUUUGUUGAAUUACUUCUAUUUGUUAUGUUUCUCCUCCAUGUUCUGGAGCAAAGAUACUAGAAACAAUUAAAUUAUGCUGUGCGCUUUCACACAC